UACGUAGGGUGCGAGCGUUGUCCGGAAUUAUUGGGCGUAAAGAGCUCGUAGGCGGCUUGUCGCGUCGGAUGUGAAAGCCCGGGGCUUAACUCCGGGUCUGCAUUCGAUACGGGCAGGCUAGAGUUCGGCAGGGGAGACUGGAAUUCCUGGUGUAGCGGUGAAAUGCGCAGAUAUCAGGAGGAACACCGGUGGCGAAGGCGGGUCUCUGGGCCGUUACUGACGCUGAGGAGCGAAAGCGUGGGGAGCGAACAGG
rnacentral:rRNA from 1 species